AUACGGAGGGUCCAAGCGUUAUCCGGAAUCAUUGGGUUUAAAGGGUCCGCAGGCGGUCAAUUAAGUCAGAGGUGAAAGCCCAUCGCUCAACGAUGGAACUGCCUUUGAUACUGGUUGACUUGAGUUAUACGGAAGUAGAUAGAAUAAGUAGUGUAGCGGUGAAAUGCAUAGAUAUUACUUAGGAUACCGAUUGCGAAGGCAGUCUACUACGUAUAUACUGACGCUGAGGGACGAAAGCGUGGGGAGCGAACAGGAUUAGAAACCCCAGUAGUCC
rnacentral:rRNA from 1 species